GAUGAACGCUAGCUACAGGCUUAACACAUGCAAGUCGAGGGACCGGCGCACGGGUGAUUAACACGUAUCCUACCUGCCCUUUACUCGUGGAUAGCCUUUCCAAAGACAGAUUAAUACCAGAUUUAUAUGGUGGGGAUGCGUUCCAUUAGGUUGUUGGUGAGGUAACGUCUCACGAAGCUUUCGAGGGAUAGGGGUUCUGGGAGGAAGGGCCCCGACAUGGGAAGUGCGAGACGGUCCAAACACGUACGGGAGGGAGCAGUGAGGAAUAUUGGUCAAAGGGCGCUAGCCAGAAACAGCCAAGUAGCGUGAAGGAUGCAGGCUUAUGGGUUGUAAACUUUUUUUAGAUAAGAAUAUGUAUUAUAUGAAUAAGGAUCGGCUAACUCCGUGCCAGCAGCCGCGGUAAUAC
rnacentral:rRNA from 1 species